AAAAUGCAACCCUUUCUCCGGGUCUCACUGCCCCAAGAUCAAGGAAUCUCUCCCCUGGGACCCUCCUCCUCCUCCAGCAAUGCUGGUUGCCAGACUGGCAUUUCUCCCAGAAUAUUUUCUGCUGACCCAUCUCUCCUUGCCCCAGGAGAAGGAAGGGCAGAGAGGCACCCCUGGGGUCUAUCUCCUUCCUGUUUUCCCUGCAUCCUGCUUUCCUCAGACUAAAGAGCUGUUGAGGAUUGAGGAAGUGGAGUGGUCUGGGACCCAGAGCAGGAAGCUUGGGGCUGAAGUCCCAGCAGCAUCCGGACUGCAACAAUGGAGGAUUCAAAUAUCAGGAAAGAGAGAAGCUCCGAGGUGGUCAGAGAGCCUGGCUGUCAGAGAAGAGAGGACAACCAGAGUCAGGGAUACAGAGAGGCAGAACAUGCGAGGAGCAGAGGACGUGCAGAAGGAGUCACUGUCAGAGACGUCAAAAGAGCAACAGAGCAGCAGUAUCCGAGAUGGAAGCGGGAGGACUACAGAAAACCAGACUAAGACAGAGCAAGAGAAGGAAACUAGUGAAGCCCAGGAGACCCAGAAAAAGAGAACUCGGAGCUGUUUGGUGAAACUGGAAGCUGAGGACACAGCAGGAAAUAAAAGGACAAGAGAAAGAUUCUAAGAAGAAAUUGAGAAAGGCCCAGGGAUGAAUGGACAAAGGAGAAAGAAUGCCACCUGACAAAAGGAGGGAGCAAGAAACCUGGAUGUGCCACCCUGGCAGAAAGAGCCCUGCCUUCUCUUCCCCUGCUUCCCGUGCCUUUAGGGAAGUCCAAGUCUCAUGAUCUUUACCACUCAAGUCCUUCUGGUUUGUAUGCCCCACUUCACCACAGGGUGAUCACUGAAAGGCCCAGGCCCUGGGUCCUCACACCUCUGGCUUUCACCUGAAACUGGCUGUGGAUCAGGCUCUGGAUCAGGAACAGAAAGGAACCAUCCCAACACACACACACACACACACACACACACACACACACACACACACACCAUCCUUAUCGCAUACACUCACGCGCAAAUGCAAACACACACACUACCCUUAUCCUGCGUGUGCUCACAUACACACACAUACACAUGCACACGCACGGGUAAGUGCAAGCACAUGCACUAUCCUUAUCCCUCAUACACACACCCACACAUCAUCCUUAUCCCAUGCGCGUGUGCACGCGCGCACACACACAUACACACAUGCGAAUGCGUGCACACACAAAACCACACACUAUCCCUAUCCCACACGCGCACGCACACACACACACACACACACACACACACACACACACACAGGCAUGCACACAUCAUCCUUUAUCGCGGUCUUCUAGCUCUAGAUGACAAAUGUAACUGAAUCUGGUCAUGUAACUUACCACAGUCUCCUCAGGAGCUUGGCUUACCACUGAGGCCAAGGCCCCUCUUCCCAAAGAAGUACUUGGGAGGUUUGAGAUGAAAAAGUGGGGUAGGUUCCCCUUGACCAGUGGCAACUGGUGUUGGGAUUAAGUGGAGCUUUCUUGACUGUUCCUAUCAGGCUCUGCCACGUACCUCCCUCCUCCUCAACUCACAAGGGGCAUCGACGGGCCUUCCAGACCAGCCAGAAUGGGAACCAAGUUGCAGGGAGGAGGGUGUCUGGGAAAUGUGGCAGAGGGAAGGUGUAUCUUACCAGAGGUCUGCAGGCUUUCCUGGAUGGCUUCGAUUUCCGACAGCUCCGUGCAUACACCUUGCCCGUGCAUCAAUGUGCGCAGGGGCUUCUCCACCCCCCGGGGCGGGUAGCAGCGCAUGCCUGAGCCACAGCGUGGGGUGUACACCCCGCAAGGCAUCCCCAAGCCCAGGGCGCAAGUGGCACAACAACCGCAGCCAGGCUCCCGCACCAGCUCCUC